UUGAUCCUGGCUCAGGACGAACGCUGGCGGCGUGCUUAACACAUGCAAGUCGAACGGUGAUGUCAGAGCUUGCUCUGGCGGAUCAGUGGCGAACGGGUGAGUAACACGUGAGUAACCUGCCCCCGACUCUGGGAUAACUGCUAGAAAUGGUAGCUAAUACCGGAUAUGACGACUGGCCGCAUGGUCUGGUCGUGGAAAGAAUUUCGGUUGGGGAUGGACUCGCGGCCUAUCAGGUUGUUGGUGAGGUAAAGGCUCACCAAGCCUACGACGGGUAGCCGGCCUGAGAGGGUGACCGGCCACACUGGGACUGAGACACGGCCCAGACUCCUACGGGAGGCAGCAGUGGGGAAUAUUGCACAAUGGGCGAAAGCCUGAUGCAGCAACGCCGCGUGAGGGAUGACGGCCUUCGGGUUGUAAACCUCUUUUAGUAGGGAAGAAGCGAAAGUGACGGUACCUGCAGAAAAAGCACCGGCUAA
rnacentral:rRNA from 1 species